GAAGAGACUGCCUUGUCUCAGAUGAGACUUUGGGCUUUGGACAUUUGAGUAAAUGCUGGAAUGAGUUAAGACCUUGUGGGAUUGUAGGUAUGGCCUGGUGGGAGGUGAUUUAUUCCUGUACUUGAGAGGGGUGGAGUUGGAAGUAAACAGAAGUGGGUAAGGUCAGAGGAGUAGGUUGGCUGUAGGGUGGUGUGAGGGUGGUGGGUAGUAGGAAGUGGGAGUAGCCUGCUACAGAGGCAGAGGCUCAUGGAAAACCUCUACUAGGGCAGUGCACCUGUGGCUUUGCAGGCUUUAGCCCCCAUGGCUGCUCUCAUGGACUGGGCUGGUGUUGAGUGCCUGUAGCUUUUCCAUACUGAGGGUGGGAGCUUUAGGUGGGUCUAUGACUCUAGGGUCUGGAGGAUGGUGGUAUCCUGCGUGGGGGCUCCAAACCCAUAUUUUCCUUCUGCACUGCCCUAGUAGAGAUUUUCCAAGAGGCUCUGCCUCUGCCUCAGACUUCUGCUUGGAAACACUGGGGGGUGGAUGUGGGGUAUUGGGUGGAUCCUUCACCAAUAGUUAAGCACCAUCUUCUUGAUGCUGAUCUCCUGAUACUGAGUUCUCUCGAGAUCUGGUUGUAUAACAGGAUGUGGCAUCUUUCCUCUGUCUUGCUUCUACUCCUGGAAUAUGAAACAUUUCAUUGCUGCUUGGCCUUCUGGUAUAAAUGGGAGGCUUCCUGAGUCCUCCUAAAAGCAGAAACCACUAUGCUUUCAUUACAGCCUCCAGAACUGUGAGUCAAUUCAACCUCUUUUCUUUAUGUACAUGCAGAAAAUCAAUGCUGUGAAGUGAAGCUAUGAAAUGCCUUCAAGGCCUUUUCCCCAAUCUUUUGGCUGUUAGCACUGGGCUUCUUUGAUGCUAAUAUCUGAAGCCUUCUUGAAGUUUUCC
rnacentral:lncRNA from 1 species